rnacentral:lncRNA from 1 species
GCACCCAAUUCCACCACAGAGUCGGGAUUUCGUCGGUGAUCGUGAUGGGGUGCUUUUAUUUUUCUCUUUGAUUUUCAAAAAAUGUCUAUGUGACUGUCCCUAUCUUAAGGGGAAGUUGAAAGUGGGGGCGGGGGUGCUCAAUGAGAAACGUUGCCUUGUGUGUAGUUGUUUGGAGCACACUGCAAAUUAUAUUGGCAUCUCUUUCCAAAAGUCACUUUGAUUCAACUUCGAUAGCUUUCUCGUAAAUGGCACGUUUAGGUGGUGAGAGGUGGAUGAGGAAACAGGCACCAGUGCAGCUGAUUUGACCUCCAGUGGGAUAGAUACGAUUAGCACCAGGAUCGUGUCUCAUUUUGAACCCAGGUUUGUUAUUUUAUUCAGCCAUACCGUUGUUUUCCAAUUUUCCUGUCCCCCAAGUAGAUCUUGCAUCUUCAUAUCCGGGAUGAAGAAGUUGUGUAGGAUAAACUUGGUUGUUUCACUUUCCUUACUAAAUUUAGGUACAUUCUCCCUGUUUUCCCCCAGUUCUUUCAAAGAGGAGAAGUUGCAGAUGCAAAUGUAUUAAAGUGAAGUGUGUUUAACCUCUAGCAAGAAAUAUGUACAAUUUUAGUCAUAUUAUGUGAGACCAGUGACUUCAAUAAUACCAUUACAGUGCUCUCAAGAAUUAGUGCUCAAGAACUUGACUUUUGUCACAAAGACAAAAAUUACUUUACAUGAAGAUUCUGAGAUGUGACUUGCUCUCCCCUAAGGUAUGAAGUUUCCGACUUUGAAAAAAUACUGACCUAAACGCUGGCUGUAGGUGGGCAUCAUCAGACCCUGUUCAUUUCCUUGGUUUUAGGAGACAGGGCACUCUAAGAGAAGAAUUGUUUUAAAUCUUAAGUACUACAGAUUGUAAACUGAAAUUGUCAAUUGAUUGGGGUUCACAAUACCAAGUUGCAUUUUGGUGGGGAUAGUUAUUGUUUAGAAAGUAAUUGUCGGCCGGGCGCGGUGGCUCACGCCUGUAAUCCCAGCACUUUGGGAGGCCGAGGCGGGAGGAUCACGAGGUCAAGAGAUCGAGACCAUCCCGGCUAAAACGGUGAAACCCCGUCUCUACUAAAAAAAAAUACAAAAAAUUAGCCGGGCGUAGUGGCGGGCGCCUGUAGUCCCAGCUACUUGGGAGGCUGAGGCAAGAGAAUUGCUUGAACCCGGGAAGCAAAGGUUGCGUGAGCCAAGAUUGCGCCACUGCACUCCAGCCUGGGCAACAGAGCAAGACUCCGUCUCAAAAAAAAAAAAAAAAAAAAAAAG